AAUAAAAGAACUUUUAAAAUCUAAAAUGAAUUUUGGAGCAGCCGAGGCUGAGAGAUGUUCUUUUUCAGGAAGCCCAGAAAGAAGAAUGUUACAAUGAUCGAUUCUGCAGGAUGGAUAGCCCAUUGUUUCAAAAAAUAUUCGGUCUGAUGGAAUUAUUCAACUCAUAUGCUAAAAAGGAUAAUCAUGGUUGCACGAUGUCAAAGAGCGAGGUCAAGACUUUGGUGAACGAACAACUGGGCUUCCUUAAGCCAGGAGAAAGGGAGAAAGUGAAUAACGAAGACCUGGACAAGCUGAUAGCAACAUGGGAUCUUGAUGGAGACGGCACAGUUAACUUUGAGGAAUUUAUGACUAUGGUGGCUUGUCUUUCCGUGGUCCUGAAAGAGGUGUUUGAUCCUGCUUGUUGCAGCUAGAUACUUGUGUGUCAAAGUGCUGAACACUGCGACCACACCCGGAGGUGUGGCCAUGCUUUCCACAGAGAGAUACAGUCCCUGUUGUAAAUCUAAAUAUUUGUUCAACAUCUGAAUAAACUGAUUUACUUUACACUCA